rnacentral:rRNA from 1 species
GACGAACGCUGGCGGCGUGCCUAACACAUGCAAGUCGAACGAGUCGCGCACGGGUGUGUAAUAUAUCGGAACGUACCGAGUAAUGGGGGAAAACUAAUCGAAAGAUGCGCUAAUACCGCACAUUAUUCGAGCGGCCGAUAUCUGAGUAGCUAGUUGGUGGGGUAAAGGCCUACCAAGGCGACGAUCCGUAGCGGGUCUGAGAGGAUGAUCCGCCACACUGGAACUGAGACACGGCCCAGACUCCUACGGGAGGCAGCAGUGGGGAAUUUUGGACAAUGGGCGCAAGCCUGAUCCAGCCAUGCCGCGUGUCUGAAGAAGGCCUUCGGGUUGUAAAGGACUUUUGUCAGGGAAGCGGUACCUGAAGAAUAAGCACCGGCUAACUACGUGCCAGCAGCCGCGGUAAUUC